AGGUUACUGCUAUCGAGGUUCGACUAAGCCAUGCGAGUCGAAUGUAGCAAUACAUGGCGUACUGCUCAGUAACACGUGGACAACCUACCCUUAGGCCUGGGAUAACCCCGGGAAACUGGGAAUAAUACCGGAUAUCUCGCGAAUGCUGGAAUGCGUCGCGAUAGAAAGCUCCGGCGCCUAAGGAUGGGUCUGCGGCCUAUCAGGGUAGUAGUGGGUGUAACGUACCUACUAGCCUACGACGGGUACGGGUUGUGAGAGCAAGAGCCCGGAGAUGGAUUCUGAGACACGAAUCCAGGCCCUACGGGGUGCAGCAGGCGCGAAAACUUUACAAUGCUGGAAACAGCGAUAAGGGGACCUCGAGUGCCAGGAUACAAUCCUGGCUGUCGUAAUGCCUAAAAAGCAUUGCAUAGCAAGGGCCGGGCAAGACCGGUGCCAGCCGCCGCGGUAACACCGGCGGCUCGAGUGGUAACCGCUAUUAUUGGGUCUAAAGGGUC
rnacentral:rRNA from 1 species